AACCGCGCGGGAUAAUCCAUCUUCUCGUGCGGCCAAGUUAAGUGGACCACACGAGAUAAUCAAUUAUCCCAUGCGGUU
rnacentral:pre_miRNA from 12 species